CACGUAGUUAGCCGUGGCUUUCUGGUUAGGUACCGUCAAGACUUGUUCAGUUACUAACAAAUUUGUUCUUCCCUAACAACAGAGUUUUACGAUCCUAAGACCUUCAUCACUCACGCGGCGUUGCUCCGUCAGGCUUUCGCCCAUUGCGGAAGAUUCCCUACUGCUGCCUCCCGUAGGGGUCUGGACCGUGUCUCAGUUCCAGUGUGGCCGAUCACCCUCUCAGGUCGGCUACGUAUCGUUGCCUUGGUAAGCCGUUACCUUACCAACUAGCUAAUACGGCGCGGGUCCAUCUAUAAGUGACAGCCGAAACCGUCUUUCAACAUUGAACCAUGCGGUUCAAUAUAUUAUCCGGUAUUAGCCCCGGUUUCCCGGAGUUAUCCCAGUCUUAUAGGUAGGUUACCCACGUUGUUACUCACCCGUCCGCCGCUAACAUCAGAGAAGCAAGCUUCUCAUCUGUUCGCUCGACUUGCAUGUAUUAGGCACGCCGCCAGCGUUCAUCCCUGAGCCAGGAUCAAAACUCU
rnacentral:rRNA from 1 species